rnacentral:rRNA from 1 species
UACGUAGGGUGCGAGCGUUGUCCGGAAUUAUUGGGCGUAAAGAGCUCGUAGGCGGUGUGUCACGUCGGCCGUGAAAACCUGCAGCUUAACUGUGGGCGUGCGGUCGAUACGGGCAUCACUGGAGUUCGGCAGGGGAGACUGGAAUUCCUGGUGUAGCGGUGAAAUGCGUAGAUAUCUGGAGGAACACCGGUGGCGAAGGCGGCAUCCUGGACCGGUAUUGACGCUGAGGCGCGAAAGCCAGGGGAGCAAAGCGGG